rnacentral:rRNA from 1 species
AUACGGAGGGUGCAAGCGUUAUUCGGAAUCACUGGGCGUAAAGGACACGUAGGCGGGAAGCCAAGUCUGAUGUGAAAUCCUACAGCUUAACUGUAGAACUGCAUUGGAAACUGGUUACCUAGAGGAUGGGAGGGGGAGAUGGAAUUAGUGGUGUAGGGGUAAAAUCCGUAGAUAUCACUAGGGAUACCUAAAGCGAAGGCGAUCUCCUGGAACAUUACUGACGCUAAGGUGUGAAAGCGUGGGGAGCAAACGGGAUUAGAAACCCUAGUAGUCC